UGCCUCAGUAACGGCGAGUGAAGCGGCAACAGCUCAAAUUUGAAAUCUGGCCUCACGGUCCGAGUUGUAAUUUGUAGAGGAUGCUUUUGGCGAGGUGCUUUCCGAGUUCCCUGGAACGGGACGCCAUAGAGGGUGAGAGCCCCGUACGGUAAGACCACCGAGCCUCUGUAAAGCUCCUUCGACGAGUCGAGUAGUUUGGGAAUGCUGCUCUAAAUGGGAGGUGUACGUCUUCUAAAGCUAAAUACCGGCCAGAGACCGAUAGCGCACAAGUAGAGUGAUCGAAAGAUGAAAAGCACUUUGAAAAGAGGGUUAAAAAGUACGUGAAAUUGUUGAAAGGGAAGCAUUCAUGACCAGACUUGGGCUUGGUUGAACAUCCGGCGUUCUCGCCGGUGCACUCUGCCAGUCCAGGCCAGCAUCAGUUUGCCCCGGGGGACAAAGGCGGUGGGAAUGUGGCUCCCUUCGGGGAGUGUUAUAGCCCGCCGUGUAAUGCCCUGGGGCGGACUGAGGAACGCGCUUCGGCACGGAUGCUGGCGUAAUGGUCAUCAAUGACCCGUCUUGAAACACGGACCAAGGAGUCGUCUUCGUAUGCGAGUGUUCGGGUGUCAAACCCCUACGCGUAAUGAAAGUGAACGUAGGUGAGAGCUUCGGCGCAUCACCGACCGAUCCUGAUGUUCUCGGA
rnacentral:rRNA from 1 species